rnacentral:rRNA from 1 species
UGGGGAAUAUUGCACAAUGGGCGAAAGCCUGAUGCAGCGACGCCGCGUGAGCGAAGAAGUAUUUCGGUAUGUAAAGCUCUAUCAGCAGGGAAGAUAAUGACGGUACCUGACUAAGAA